GUACAGUUACAGAAAGGGAUUUCAGUCUUUUCUCAACACGCUUCUUCUUCGUUUUGAGAACAAACGGAAAACAAAUCAGUUGAUUUAAACUUGCAAACUUUGGGGUUUUGAUCCCAUCAAAACUUCAACCAAGUUCUGUUAUCGUUCUUUUUACUUCAAUUUCAGAAGAAAUUUGUAAUAGAAGUCGUGGUGACGAGAUACUGAGGGAUGCGGUGGUACCGGUGAAGAAGAAGUCUCUAAUGGAGUUGGUGGUGAUGAGAUACUGACGGAUGUGUUGCUUCCUGAGGUGAAGAAGAAGAGAACCAAAAGAAGGAGGAGGAAUUAGCUGGCAUGCACUUAUUUAAGCCUCUCAGCAUCACCUUCCUGGAAAAGAUAGUGGUGGCGUCAUUUGAGGCAAUGGGAGGUUGGGAUGGUGCAAUACAGUAAACUUUAUGUAUCCGUCGGACCUUCUUUCUGUGUUGUUGAAACUACAAACAUCCAAGCCAUCCAAAAGGUAUCCAAAGGAGGACAGCAACUUCAACAACUCGCAGAUGGGUUCAACAAUGCCUUCACGUCCCGGGAGUCCUAUCGAGUCUAUUUAUCAAGUAAAUUAAUCGCUUUGGUAUGUUAAUUUCAGUAGAAAUACCAACAUUUUGUGGUAUAGCAUUUUACCAAAAGUUUGAUUAUUUUUGACAACGGAAUGGCAAGCGCAUCGCGCAUGCGUGUUAUACUAGUAUUCUAUAAUAAAAAAAUAAUAAAAAUCUAUGCAUCGAUCA